UGGGGAAUAUUGGACAAUGGGCGAAAGCCUGAUCCAGCCAUGCCGCGUGUGUGAAGAAGGUCUUCGGAUUGUAAAGCACCUUAAGUUGGGAGGAAGGGCAUUAACCUAAUACGUUAGUGUCUUGACGUUACCGACAGAAUAAGCACCGGCUAACUCUGUGCCAGCAGCCGCGGUAAUACAGAGGGUGCAAGCGUGAAUCGGAAUUACUGGGCGUAAAGCGCGCGUAGGUGGUUUGUUAAGUUGAAUGUGAAAUCCCCGGGCUCAACCUGGGAACUGCAUCCGAAACGGGCAGGCUAGAGUAUAGGAGGGGGUAGUGGAAUUUCCUGUGUAGCGGUGGAAUGCGUAGAUAUAGGAAGGAACACCGGUGGCGAAGGCGAUUACCUGGACUGAAACUGACACUGAGGUACGAAAGCGUGGGGAGCAAACA
rnacentral:rRNA from 1 species